rnacentral:rRNA from 1 species
AUCAACUUUCGAUGGUAGGAUAGAGGCCUACCAUGGUGGUAACGGGUAACGGGGUGUUAGGGCACGACACCGGAGAGGGAGCCUGAGAAACGGCUACCACAUCCAAGGAUGGCAGCAGGCGCGCAAAUUACCCAAUCCCGACACGGGGAGGUAGUGACAAUAAAUAACAAUACGGGGUUCUUUCGGAUCUCGUAAUUGGAAUGAGUACAAUUUAAAUCUCUUAACGAGGAACAAUUGGAGGGCAAGUCUGGUGCCAGCAGCCGCGGUAAUUCCAGCUCCAAUAGCGUAUAUUAAAGUUGCUGCAGUUAAAAAGCUCGUAGUUGAAUUUCGGGACCAAUAUGUCGGUCGUGCUUCGGUACGUACUGUCAUAAUUGGUUUCUCCCUUCUGAAAAACCUUGAUGUCAUUAAUUUGGUGUCUUGGGGAAUCAGGACUGUUACUUUGAAAAAAUUAGAGUGUUUAAAGCAGGCUCGCGCUUGAAUACAUUAGCAUGGAAUAAUGAAAUAGGACGUUUGAUUCUAUUUUGUUGGUUUCUAGGAUCGACGUAAUGAUUAAUAGGGAUAGUUGGGGGCAUUAGUAUUCAAUUGUCAGAGGUGAAAUUCUUGGAUUUAUUGAAGACUAACUACUGCGAAAGCAUUUGCCAAGGAUGUUUUCAUUAAUCAAGAACGAAAGUUAGGGGAUCGAAGACGAUCAGAUACCGUCGUAGUCUUAACCAUAAACUAUGCCGACUAGGGAUCGGAUGAUGUUAAUUUUUUAAUGACUCAUUCGGCGCCUUACGGGAAACCAAAGUGUUUGGGUUC